GCUCCUUCAACACAGCAGAAACUACAUCAACAAUGACUCUGGCCACCAUCUUCAUCUGGACACUGGUCUGCUUCUGCUUCAGAGGAUCCAGAGGUCAGGUGACUGUGACUCAGACUCCUGUAGUGACCUUUUCUCCAGGAGACACUGUCACUCUGACCUGUAGAAACAACCCUGCAGUUGUCAAAUAUAGUGAUGGAGAUGAGGGUGCGUUCUGGUAUCAACAGAGACCUGGAGAAGCUCCUAAACUCCUGAUAAAAUAUGCAAAGACAAGGAUAGAUGGGAUUCCUGCUAGAUUCAGUGGCAGUGGGUCUGGGAGUGACUUCAGUCUGACCAUCAGUGGAGUCCAGGCUGAAGAUGCAGCAGUUUACUACUGUCAGAGUCAUCACAGUGGUUAUGUGGUCACACAGUGA